rnacentral:tRNA from 1 species
AGUAGAAUAAGCUAAUUAAGCUUCUGGGCCCAUACCCCAGAUAUGUUGGUUAAAAUCCUUCUUCUACUA